UUAACGGUGUAGACCUUCUCAAGAUCCAUAAUAUCCUUCUAGAGAAGUGGCUUUGCACACCAGGGCAGACAAAUGGCAAGGACCUCCAGUACCAGGACUCUGUGACUGAUCUUACUGAGGAUCCUGAUCUCAUGAGAGUGGUGUAUUUGCUGCAGAUGCACUCCAUGGAUAUGAGGUAUGUCUGCUCAAUCCCAUCCUGAGUGCAGAGACAAAGGUCAAUUAUAUAGCUGUUUCUUCAGCAUGUAUAUGAUUUCUUCCCAUUUUAUACAGUAUUAGUAUAAUUUAAAGGGCCAGUGGGUAAAAUCAAAGCUCUAAAGUUUACAUGUACAGUAACACUGUAAUUAUUAUUUAUAACUCCUUCACCCUACUUUCCCUCCAAGCCCAUAUACAUGUAUACCUGCCUCCUACAAUUUCUGAUGGACAGCAGUUUAUCGUCAUGUUCAUUUGCAACAAACCUUUCAUUUACUGGAUGAAUGAACGUCAGCAUUCAUUCAUACGCCUCGUCCCAUAUGAGGAAAGUAUAUCUGGAAAACUAAGCGUUAAGUAUCGGACUUGACACAUUAUACUGGUGUGUAAAACCUAACACUAACUUUUUUUUUAAAGAAAAACAAAGUACACAAUGAUUUAUUACAUUAAUACUAAAUAACGUUAUCUGUAUAUAGUUACACUUCAUAUAACUUGUGUUUGGGGCUGCAGCGACUAGUCUGAAUAAUCAGUAGACUUCCUGUAGAAGUCCCUGUAGAAGUUAUUACAAUAAAAACGAUAAUGUUUAGAAUGAGCACAUUAGUCUGUCUUUUUUUGUUGUUGUUGUUCUUUUCUCAGCUGUUGGGAAGAUCCAGUCUCAGACUGACCUUUGAACACCGCAGCUGUGCGCUGCUCUGCCUCAUUCACCUUGUAGACACCUUGUUAUUUUAUAAUCAAUAUU